GAUACGCUACGGCAGGCUAAUACCUGCAGUCCGAACGGUGUCAUCGGACAUAGUGGCGCACGGGUGCGUAACACGUAUGCAACCUACCUUACAUUGGGGGAUAGCCUUUCGAAAGGGAGAUUAAUACCGCAUAAGACAGUAGCUGGGCAUCCAGCAGCUGUUAAAGAUUUAUCGAUGUAAGCUGGGCAUGCGUCCAAUUAGCUAGUUGGUGAGGUAACGGCUCACCAAGGCAAUGAUUGGUAGGGGAACUGAGAGGUCAAUCCCCCACACUGGCACUGAGAUACGGGCCAGACUCCUACGGGAGGCAGCAGUAGGGAAUAUUGGGCAAUGGACGCAAGUCUGACCCAGCCAUGCCGCGUGCAGGAUGAAGGCGUUAUGCGUUGUAAACUGCUUUUAUACAGGAAGAAACGACUCUUGCGAGAGGCAUUGACGGUACUGUAUGAAUAAGCACCGGCUAACUCCGUGCCAGCAGACGCGGUAAUACGGAGCGGUGCAAGCAGUUGUCCGGAUUUAUUGGGUUUACAAGGGUGCGCAGGUGGUUUAUUAAGUCAGUGGUGAAAGACCGGUCGCUCAACGAUUGCAGUGCCAUUGAAACUGGUCAGAACUUGAGUAAAGUACGAGGUUGGGCGGAAUUUGAUACGUGUAGAGCAGGUGAAAUGCAUAGGAUAUUUAUCAAGAACUCCCAUUGACGUAGGGCAGCUCACUUGGCUUUUAACUGACACUCAUGACAAAAAAGUGUGGGGUUCAAACAGGAAUAAAUACCCUGGUAGUUCCACACCUGUA
rnacentral:rRNA from 1 species